CACAUGCAAGUCGAGCGGAGACAGUGAGUAGCUUGCUAUGAGCUGUUUUAGCGGCGGACGGGUGAGUAACGCGUGAGCAACCUUUCCCAGACAGGGGAAUAACACACCGAAAGGUGUACUAAUACCGCAUAAGACCACGGGAUCACAUGGUUCUGGGGUAAAAGAUUUAUCGGUUUGGGGUGGGCUCGCAUCCGAUUAGGUAGUUGGUGAGGUAACGGCCCACCAAGCCGACGAUCGGUAGCCGACCUGAGAGGGUGAUCGGCCACAUUGGGACUGAGACACGGCCCAAACUCCUACGGGAGGCAGCAGUGGGGAAUAUUGGGCAAUGGGGGGAACCCUGACCCAGCAACGCCGCGUGGAGGAAGAAGGUUUUCGGAUCGUAAACUCCUGUCCUUGGAGACGAGUAGAAGACGGUAUCCAAGGAGGAAGCCCCGGCUAACUACGUGCCAGCAGCCGCGGUAAUACGUAGGGGGCAAGCGUUGUCCGGAAUAAUUGGGCGUAAAGGGCGCGUAGGCGGCUCGGUAAGUCUGGAGUGAAAGUCCUGCUUUUAAGGUGGGAAUUGCUUUGGAUACUGUCGGGCUUGAGUGCAGGAGAGGUUAGUGGAAUUCCCAGUGUAGCGGUGAAAUGCGUAGAGAUUGGGAGGAACACCAGUGGCGAAGGCGACUAACUGGACUGUAACUGACGCUGAGGCGCGAAAGUGUGGGGAGCAAACAGGAUUAGAUACCCUGGUAGUCCACACUGUAAACGAUGAAUGCUAGGUGUAGGGGGUAUCGACCCCUUCUGUGCCGCAGUCAACACAAUAAGCAUUCCGCCUGGGGAGUACGGCCGCAAGGUUGAAACUCAAAGGAAUUGACGG
rnacentral:rRNA from 1 species